UUUCUCUUCUCUUGUCUGAUAAUAUUGUGACAUUCUGCAUGUAGAAACUGCAAGUGAUCAGCUACCAUUCUCUGCUGGCAUUCGUGAAUCACUUUACCAUAUGAGCUGGGAUGCAAGUAUUUCCGACACCGCAUUUCUUCAUCUUUUAAUCUACCUAAAACCUUCUCCAUGUACUGUGAGCAAUUUGACUCUUGUAAUAAAUUUGAAGCUUCUUGUUUAUAAUACUCCCCUGUUUCAUUCAGAAAAGGACACUCAAAAAUUUCCUGAUAAAACUUUAGGGGCAAUUUUUUCUUAUACUGUUCAACAUGAACAAAGGAGUUAAUAACCCCAUGGAUUACUUUCUGGUUUGGGUCUUCUCCACAGCGAUCAUUUUUGAUUUCUCGGAGGAGCAUUCGAAUAAGGAUGGCCUGUAGUGGCUCAAUCAUUAAUUUUCUCCACAUAUCAAGAGCUAGCUCUCCUAUUUCCAUCAAUGGUUCAUUCAUAUCCACGCCAC
rnacentral:lncRNA from 1 species